AACUCGGUGAACGCUUUAAAAUCACAGUCACGACAACAAAUGACAGCGAUUUUUCGUUUUUGCGAUCAUGUAACACACAUCUCCCACCGAAAUGACGUCAUCUUGGAUCGUUCUCUGUCACGGUCACUUGUAGGGAUUUAUCCAAGUUAUAACGCAGUUUUUACGUAUCGAUAGUCAGUUUAAGCGAUUAUGUAAGCAUAAUGAUCAUACAACUGGGUGACACAGAAGUUGUCAAAGUCAAUCGCUAUAGAAACUAAUACCGAGCAGUGUUUUAAUAAAGUUUACUUGACGCCUGUGAUUCAAUAAUUACAAAUAAAAGUACUUUUAGGAUUUUUUUGAAUUUUGUACUAUACCUUGUAAGUAAGGUAUUAGUUUGUAAGUCAAUAAAAUCAGAAUUAGAAAAGUUUUUCAUGUAAAAUAUGACGAAAGUUGAGAAUAUAUAGUAGUGUUUACCGACAUUGCCAUGUACAAUACAAUGCAUGUAGCAUUUGUAUGGUACGCGGAAACGGAACGAAAAAGAUGUCUUUGUCGAGUUCAUUGCAAAACUUUCGUGUCGCGAUACCAGCAGGUUUUAGAAGAAAUACAAAGUCUUCGAACAACUGCUGUUCGCAAUGAAUUAGAGAUAAGUAAGUUAUAUGAAUGAAUGAAGGAAUUUUCUUCAUUCUCUGCGUUGAGCAAGUGACGUGGACUAUGGGCCUAACCCCUCUCAUUCUGAGAGGAGACUCGAGCUCAGCAGUGAGCCGAAUAUGGUAUUUUUAUAUGGUCUUGGCAGCUUUAAACUUUUAUGCCAAUGGAUCAUACAAAUGGCUUUGUGAUGGCUAAGGCAUCUUUUAGCAAAUGCCUACAUGAAGUCGCUGACGCUCCUGAAUACCCCAGCUGUUUAAAAAAAAUGUGUUAAGUUCCCUUUGCAUUAAACACAAAAUCAUUAUAAAUAAAUAUGUGAUGCCAAUCUAAUAAUAACAUAGUGGAUGCUCAAUUUGGUGGUGCAUCUUAUGACUUGUACAUAUGGAACCAGUGCAAUAAGACCACUUGAGGAAAACCUGCCCAAUAGGGACCGCUGUUGGUUGUUAGGUGACCAAUGUUUGCAUGAUGACCCACAUCUUGGGAGCUGCUCCUAGAUCCCAUGAAGAUAUGCACAACAUUGCUGUGUCAGAAAUACGGUGGAGCCUUGUAGUUGGGUGCAUAUUGUAAAAUGUUUCCUCACUCCAAAACCAUGAACUCUGGUUUCCUAAACCCUCAAGCUAUGCAGCCGAAGGAGGAGACUUAUCACAGGAGAAUCACUAAUAAUUUUGAAGAAGUGAAGAGCUUAACAAUGUUUCAACCAACACCUAAAGAAGCUUUCACGGUGCCAAGCCAGUGAUGUUUUAAUUAAAUACGUUUGAACUACAAAAUUUCUGUGGUUAUUCCAGAAACAGCUUUAAUUAAAAUACGACACUGGCUUGGCACCGCCUUCAAACUGAUCAGAAGGUAGCACAUAGGUAGGAUGUUAUUUUUUGCUUUUUAGUUAAAGUUAUUUUUUGAGUUGGAAGUCGGUUGAAUUUUUUUUAUUAAAAUUUUUAUUUUUUUAUUUUUAGUGUUAGCAUACCCACUGCGUGUGAACAGUCACAACCUAUCUAAGUGGAAAGUUCUUAUCAAUACAAAAUUAUCAAGUCCAAACACAAGGUAGCUACUGUGAGCCGUCGAGGAGUUCUCUUCACUGUGCUUCGUCUUCAUCACCAGACCCUUAAUACAGUCGCAAUCCAUCUAGGUGGAAAGUUCUCAUCAAUACAAAUUUAUCAAGCCCAAACACAAGGUAGCUACUGUGAACCGUCGAGGAGUUCUCUUCACUGUCCCUCGUCUUCAUCACCAGACCCUUAAUACAGUCACAAUCCUUCUAGGUGGAAAGUUCUCAUCAAUACAAAUUUAUCAAGUCCAAACACACGGUAGCUACUGUGAACCGUCGAGGAGUUCUCUUCACUGUCCCUCGUCUUCAUCAUCAGACCCUUAGUACAGUCACAAUCCAUCUAUGUGGUAAGUUCUCAUCAAUACAAAUUUAUCAAGUCCAAACACAAGGUAGCUACUGUGAACCGUCGAGGAGUUCUCUUCACUGUCCCUCGUCUUCAUCACCAGACCCUUAAUACAGUCACAACCCAUAUAGGUGGAAAGUACUCAUCAAUACAAAUUAAUCAAGCCCAAACAAAAGGUGACUGCUGUAAAUCCUUGACGAGUUCCAUCGUCUGUGUUUCGGCUCCAUCAUCAGACCAACUCCAAAUCUUCAUAAAGUUGUAGUGGUUUAAAAUACCUUAUGGAAACACUAACAAACGUACUAGCCUUCUCUACAACUUUCGAAAGUUCCCUUCAAUUUCUCCAGGAUGCCAUCAUCAGAUCUUGACAUGAAAAAAAUGGGACCACCCUGGAAGUAAACCCUACAAAACAAAAAAAGAAUUUUCAAAAUCGGUCCAUAAUUGACGGAAUUAUCGCUGGACAUACAUAAAAAAAAAAAAAAAAAAAACAUACAUACAGCCGAACGUAGAACCUCCUCCUUUUUGGAAGUCGGUUAAAAAUAUAAAGUACAAAUUAUUAUUUGAAUUAGCAAUUAUUAUCAUUAAGAAUUACAUACACUGGAUUAGGUAAUACUAUUCAUUCAUUCAUGAUUAGACCAAUAGUCCACCACUCUGACCCAAAGCGGAUUAGCAGACUUCACAUAAGCAGAGAAUUAAGAGAAUUAUCUGGUAUGCAGGUUUCCUCACGAUGUUUUCCUUCACCAUUUGAUACAUGUGAUAUUUAAUAUCUUAAAAUGUACACAACUGAAAAGUUGGAGCUGCAUGCCCCGGACUGGAUACAAACCCACACCCUCUGGAAUCUGAGGCAGAGGUUACAUCCACUGGGCUAUUGCUGUGCUUAUGGACCUAUAUCCCUGGCAAACCCUCUAGUCUAUACUCUGCAGCAACUGGGCUUUUAUGGGAUUAAACUGAGCUCUUUUGUUUUUUGAUUUGCGUUAUAUUUUAUCCAGUUUUGUAGGAGAUACAUAUACUUGUAGGAUUUAACUUAACUAUAUAUUGUAAUUGAAAUUUGAAUUAAUUAUUUUAAGUGGCUAGCCUCAAUCAUCAUAAAAAAAUUACUAAUCAAGGUAGGAUUUUAUAUUUAGCCUUAAUGUAACUAAAACAAACACCUACAAAUACAAACAAUUCUAAUACAUCUGCAUAAUGAGACAAAGUUUGAUUUUGAUUAUUUGUCUUGUACUUAAUGCUUAGAACUUAAAGGUUACAUGGUGCAGGUAUAGUUGUGGUUUAAAAAGGCUUGUUAAUGCAAUAUGCUAGUCACAAAACCAAGUAUUAUGUUAAACUUAUAAUAGAAAAUCAUGAAUUUCAAUUGAAUAUAAUUACUAUCUUACACUCGCAAGUUAUGUGAGUUUCUAUUGGUGAAAGAAUUUUCGAAAUCGGUUUAGUAGAUCCAGAGAUUACCCCCUACAAUAUCAAAAAUUUCCUCUCAUCCUCUUUAAAAUAAUAAUAUAGAAUAUAGAUAUGUGAUAACUUACACAACGCCACUGGCAGACGCGAACACGGAAGGUUUAUUUAGUAGCCUGACUUUCCAAAGGCCCUCCAAAACAACCCAUCGCCAAGUUUGAUCCAAGCCAAGGCGAUCAUUGAGUUUCCCGGACAUCUUUAGUUGCAAGCGAUGAACUUUAAUAAACAAAACACUAUACAAUAUACUUUACAUAUUAUCACAACGACCAUUAAAUUAAUCAUAGGCAGACGAUAAAACUUUGAAGAACUUUCGUGUAGAUAAUGUUUUAUGUAAAAGUGGCCGUUUACUUUGAUAAAUUAACUAUUAACACUAAUAAAAAUGUAUACGAUAAAAUGAUUAAUUAAUUACUUCUAUUGAAAACAAAAAACUAGCAGUAGCAAGUACUUUGAUCCAACGAAACCAAAUUUUUUAUUAAUAUUUUAAUACGGCUUUGUUUACCAACAAAGAAACUAUGGCACUUCACUUCACCACAGACAAACAGCAAAAUCAAGUAUAAUGCGUAUAUGUGCAAAAGUAUGCCGCACCUGUAGUAAGUAGUACCGGGAAAGGGUGUAUUUUAUUUAGUCGCAUAAUGUCGAUAAAAUUUUGCGCCUAGAACGAUAUCACUAGGCAUUGUGGCUGUCUUUUGUCUUACAUAAUCGGAAUUGCAAAAACACUCUAGUGUUCAAUUUAGCUUUGCGUUACACAGUUAGAAGUGAUACGUCGAGAUACAUAAUCAGCCUGCAGAUAAGUACAUUAACCAGC